CGCGACCCCAGGUCAAGCGGGGCUACCCGCUGAGUUUAAGCAUAUCAAUAAGCGA
rnacentral:rRNA from 1 species